rnacentral:piRNA from 1 species
UUCCCGACCAACUUCUCCAGCCAUGUACAUC